rnacentral:rRNA from 1 species
AUUGAACGCUGGCGGCAUGCUUUACACAUGCAAGUCGGACGGCAGCACAGAGAAGCUUGCUUCUUGGGUGGCGAGUGGCGAACGGGUGAGUAAUAUAUCGGAACGUACCGAGUAAUGGGGGAUAACUAAUCGAAAGAUUAGCUAAUACCGCAUAUUCUCUGAGGAGGAAAGCAGGGGACCUUCGGGCCUUGCGUUAUUCGAGCGGCCGAUAUCUGAUUAGGUAGUUGGGGGGGUAAAGGCCUACUAAGGCGACGAUCAGUAGGGGGUCUGAGAGGAUGAUCCGCCACACUGGAACUGAGACACGGCCCAGACUCCUACGGGAGGCAGCAGUGGGGAAUUUUGCACAAUGGGCGCAAGCCUGAUCCAGCCAUGCCGCGUGUCUGAAGAAGGCCUUCGGGUUGUAAAGGACUUUUGUCAGGGAAGAAAAGGCUGUUGCUAAUAUCGACAGCUGAUGACGGUACCUGAAGAAUAAGCACCGGCUAACUACGUG